UGGUCGUACAAGAAGAACAGGGGGGCGAUCCCCACACAUCAAAACCCUAAAUCUUCACCAAACUUGCAAAUUGAAGGCUCAAUCCAAGUCAAAAUCGAAAAUCAAGCAUAGAUUAUUGAUCCCCAUUGCAAGAGGGUUGUAAGUUUGUCGCCUAACGAGCUAGGUGGAGGCUUGGGAUAGAAGCGGUCAAACGAAUCAAGCACGAGAAGAAAAGCAUAUUCGGAUGCGAGGAAAUAACAUAAGUAUGCGUUGCUUAAACUAGAAAGCUUUAAAGCAAAAGUUAUGUAAACGGGUCAAUACCUUGACCCGAGCCAGGUACACUUUGGGAUGCCGGAAGACGAUCAAGCUCAACGAAGAACCGAACACACUAUAGAUACACGCUUCCGCACUUUGCUAUGUUGUAAAUUUUAAACAACGAAUUCAACCACGUGAUGUAGAAUAACUUAUGAUUUGUAAAAGUUU
rnacentral:lncRNA from 1 species